UGAUUCUAUGCUCACUUCCACAGCCAUAGGCAUUGCCACUCGUAAAAAUUUUGUUCAAAAUCUUCAAUUCUGUAUGUGAUUGAGCUGGAAGCCAUCACUUCCUAAAAUGCUUGCUUCAUGCCAUCAUAGUUCAUUGCUGUGAAAAUGACUGAAUCACACUGUAAACAGAGUUGAAGCAAUACCACCAGCAUGGACUGAGAAGCUGUGGACAUUGAGCUUGUAUUUUGAAGUGUGCAUGCGUAUUUUUAAGGCUUGUAAUUCAGAUGGUGGAGGUGUUGAGAAAAGAACAGUCUUACAGUGAAAUUAAAAAUAGUGGAGUCGUCUGUUUUUUUUGUCUUCUGUCCAAAUACAAGCCCUGAAGUGUUGUCUAGGUAUUUCUGUAUGGAGCCAGCUGUCCCCAAAAUGGAAAACUUGUCCAAAAAAUUAACCACAAUCUUGCUAUGACCUACAAAGUCUUCCUUAUAGUGAAAUGUUUGAGUAUUUUAGUAGUAAUCAUGGCAGACAUGCAAGUAAAGACUGCAGUUAGUCGAACAGUGCAAUUUGCUGCAUUUG